rnacentral:rRNA from 1 species
GAUGAACGCUGGCGGCGUGCUUAACACAUGCAAGUCGAACGAUGAUCCCAGCUUGCUGGGGGAUUAGUGGCGAACGGGUGAGUAACACGUGAGUAACCUGCCCUUAACUCUGGGAUAAGCCUGGGAAACAGGGUCUAAUACCGGAUAUGACUCCUCAUCGCAUGGUGGGGGGUGGAAAGCUUUAUUGUGGUUUUGGAUGG